UGGCUCAGGACGAACGCUGGCGGCGUGCCUAAUACAUGCAAGUCGAACGGUCUUUCUAUGGAAGCUUGCUUCCACUGAGAAGAUAGUGGCGAACGGGUGAGUAACACGUGGGUAACCUGCCCAUAAGAGGGGGGAGUAACAUCCGGAAACGGGUGCUAAUAUCGCAUAGUUUUCUUGAUCGCAUGAUCGGGAAGGAAAGACGGCCUUUGUGCUGUCGCUUAUGGAUGGACCCGCGGCGUAUUAGUUAGUUGGUGAGGUAACGGCUCACCAAGACGAUGAUACGUAGCCGACCUGAGAGGGUGAUCGGCCACAUUGGGACUGAGACACGGCCCAAACUCCUACGGGAGGCAGCAGUAGGGAAUCUUCCGCAAUGGACGAAAGUCUGACGGAGCAACGCCGCGUGAGUGAAAGAAGGUUUUCGGAUCGUAAAACUCUGUUGUCAGAGAAGAACAAGUUGGAGAGUAACUGCUCCAGCCUUGACGGUAUCUGACCAGAAAGCCACGGCUAACUACGUGCCAGCCGCCGC
rnacentral:rRNA from 1 species